rnacentral:rRNA from 1 species
ACAGAGGCCUCGAGCGUUAGGCGGAAUCACUGGGCUUAAAGCGUGUGUAGGUGGAGUUCUAAGUACCUUGUGAAAUCCCACGGCUCAACCGUGGAACUGCUGGGUAUACUGGUUCUCUUGAGGUACCUAGGGGCGAGCGGAACAAGUGGUGGAGCGGUGAAAUGCGUAGAUAUCUGGAGGAACACCGGUGGCGAAGGCGGCAUCCUGGACCGACACUGACGCUGAGGAGCGAAAGCCAGGGGAGCAAACGGAA